GUACAUACUGUACUUGUGUACUUUGUGUUUCUCUUUUUUUAUUUGGGAGUUUCUGUUUUAGAUUAACUUUUUUUUCAGUUAAUUAAUUAUAUGUACGAUGCAUAUUAACUUAUUAAGAAGACAUUCUCUUACAUUUAAUGUCAACAAUCCAAAUUUUAAAUAUGAAUCUGACAAGGAUUUCAUUCAGUGACAUGUGUGCAAUGUAUACUUUCACCUUUUGUCUUUCAUUGUAUAAAUUAAGUCUAUGAAAAUGCCAUAUGUACAUGUAAAACUCAACUGCUGUUGUAUAAACCACACAUAUUUAGCUGUCCAACCAUUAGUGGUUGCAAGCCAAUACUUGCACUGCCUAUGUUGAAAAAAAAUAUUACAAAUGUAUUUAUGAGUUCAUCAUUUAACUUAAUAUCAUUACAUUUAUUUGAGAUCUUUCUGUUGCUAUUUGUAAUUUAUCUUUUUCAACAUCUGAUGUACCACAAUCAUACUCUGCCUAGGCUUUUUCCAUCUUUUUUUCUUUCAUGAGGGGAAGAAGGUUGUUAUACAUAAAUGUAAAAGUCUCAACAUACAUGUAUUGUUCAACAAAUAGACAUGAAGUUUGUUAUGUUCAUUAAAACGUGAUAC
rnacentral:misc_RNA from 1 species